GCCGUCGUAAUCCGUUAAGGAGGCGGGACGGACUGUAAAUCCGUCAGUUCAAGUACUUCGAGUGGGUUCGAUACCCUCAGGCGGCACCA
rnacentral:tRNA from 1 species